GGCCACAUAAUUCAAUAACCACAAAACGGGAUUUAAGUCCCUGGUUCACACAUGCUGGGCCUAGGUCGACCAUCGUUAUUGAAGUCACGGCCGUCCCUCAUAGAUCUCAUUGCUCCCAAAAACCAAACAUACAGUCGUCCGUCCACGCCCAUUGCUGCGUCGCUGGAAGAUCCACCUGCGCUACAACGCAACGUCAGGCUUCCAAGCUCCGACCAACUACACCACAACUACAACCACCACCGCCUCAACCCCUCCAACGAAGCCCCAGCUCCCCUCCCCCCUCCCAACCCCGAUAAUCCGCAAUCCCCACCUCCCACGAUGCCGCCAAAGAGCUCGAAGAAUCCUCGGCCUGGCGCCGAUGAGGGGAAACAUGGCUCUAUUUACUCUGUCUCUGGGCCUGUCGUGGUUGCGGAGAAUAUGAUCGGUUGCGCCAUGUACGAGCUGUGUCGAGUGGGCUAUGACCAACUCGUUGGAGAAGUCAUUCGAAUCGAUGCAGAUAAGGCAACAAUUCAAGUUUACGAGGAAACAGCUGGAGUAACUGUCGGCGAUCCGGUCGUCAGAACAGGGAAACCAUUAUCUGUAGAACUUGGGCCAGGAUUGAUGGAAACCAUCUAUGACGGUAUUCAACGACCCCUCAAAGCCAUUUCAGACGCAUCCCAAAGUAUCUACAUCCCCCGCGGCAUCUCUAUCCCAGCCCUCGACCGAGAAAAGAAAUGGGAUUUCAAACCAGCAAACUUUAAAGUUGGAGACCACAUCACCGGUGGCGACAUAUGGGGUAGCGUGUGGGAAAACAGCUUGCUGAACGACCAUAAGAUCCUGCUCCCCCCUCGCGCGAGAGGGACCAUCACACGCAUCGCUGGUCCGGGCAGCUAUACCGUUGAUGAAAAGCUCCUGGAGGUUGAGUUUGAUGGUAAGAAACAGGAGUUCGGUAUGUCCCACGAAUGGCCGGUCCGUGUUCCUCGUCCGGUCAGCGAGAAGCUGGCUUCUGAUACUCCCUUCAUUGUUGGCCAGCGUGUCCUUGAUGCUCUCUUCCCCAGUGUUCAAGGUGGAACAGUGUGUAUCCCCGGUGCGUUUGGUUGCGGGAAGACUGUUAUCAGCCAGAGUGUCUCCAAAUUCUCGAACAGUGACAUCAUAGUGUACGUUGGGUGCGGUGAACGUGGAAAUGAGAUGGCUGAAGUUCUGAUGGAUUUCCCAGAGCUUUCAAUCAACAUUGACGGCCGCAAGGAACCAAUUAUGAAACGUACAUGCCUCAUUGCCAACACUUCCAACAUGCCUGUCGCUGCCCGUGAGGCCUCCAUCUACACAGGUAUCACGGUCGCGGAAUACUUCCGUGAUCAGGGUAAAAACGUCGCCAUGAUGGCAGACUCUAGUUCUCGCUGGGCUGAGGCCCUCCGUGAAAUUUCAGGACGUUUGGGAGAGAUGCCCGCUGACCAAGGUUUCCCUGCCUACCUUGGGGCCAAACUUGCCUCUUUCUACGAACGUGCCGGACUGAGCAUCGCGCUUGGAAGCCCCGAGCGGAAAGGAAGUGUCAGUAUCGUUGGCGCUGUUAGCCCCCCUGGUGGCGAUUUCUCCGACCCCGUCACGUCCAGCACGCUUGGCAUCGUCCAAGUCUUCUGGGGUCUUGACAAGAAGCUUGCGCAGCGAAAGCAUUUCCCAUCCAUCAACACCUCCGUUUCCUACAGCAAAUACACCAACGUGCUCGAUAAAUACUACGCCAAGGACCACCCGGAAUUCCCCCGGCUCCGGGAUAGAAUCAAGGAGCUACUCACCAACUCCGAAGACCUGGACCAGGUCGUGCAACUCGUUGGUAAAUCAGCCCUCGGCGACCCGGACAAGAUUACACUGGACAUCGCGGCGCUGCUCAAGGAUGACUUCUUACAGCAGAACGGCUACAGCGAUUACGACCAGUUUUGCCCUUUGUGGAAAACAGAAUACAUGAUGAAGGCGUUCAUGGGAUAUCAUGACGAAAGCCAGAAGGCCAUCGCGCAAGGCCAGAGUUGGGCCAAGGUCCGCGAGGCGACGGCAGACAUCCAGAAUGCGUUGCGGGGAAUGAAGUUUGAGGUGCCCGAUGAUGAACGGGCUGUAACCCAAAAGUACGAAAAAAUCCUUCAGGAUAUGUCUGAGAAGUUCGCAUCGGUAUCUGACUUGUAGAGGAAUUUGGUUGCAUGAUUAUAACGGUUUACAUAUACAUCUUCCCAUUCCUCUAAUUCUAUCCAUCCUUUUUAUAUAGGCCCUAUUAUCUUUUUGCAAGACCCGCAUACGUGUCCCUCCUUUAUUUUAUUUUGUUUUUGGGUUUUCGCUGGUGGGAAUGGUUCCAAACGGGUUGCCCAUGGCUUCUACAAUACUAAAGGCGGUUGUGAUUUUGCGUAGUGUCUAGUUUUUUGUGUCCCUUCAAUGAUUGUUUGUGCUGGAUGGUCUAAUAGAUGGCAAGUAUUUGUCCAUGAGAUCCGGCUUCCUACAUUUGGUUUUGAUUUUUUAUAAUUUAAUUUCCCCAAGAGAAUUUGUUCCGUAAUACGAGGAAUGGAUAGGGCUUUUCGAUCUGGCCUGGCCUGGCCUGUUAUAUAGCAGUUUGUAUGAUACUAUUCCGAUGAGUUUGAUGGAAGGACAGAGAGAGAGAGAGUAUUUCAUUUGACUUCCUCUCUAUGGGGUAUCCUUUCUUUUCAUGUUCAAAAUAACGGUCAUUCAAUAAUUGCCUAUGCCACCAACAGGGUACAUACACACAACUUGAUUAUAGCAGAAUCUGAAGUAUAUAUUGGG
rnacentral:sRNA from 1 species